rnacentral:rRNA from 1 species
UACGAAGGGGACUAGCGUUGCUCGGAAUCACUGGGCGUAAAGCGCACGUAGGCGGCUUUCUAAGUCAGGGGUGAAAUCCUGGAGCUCAACUCCAGAACUGCCUUUGAUACUGGAGAGCUUGAGUCCGGGAGAGGUGAGUGGAACUCCGAGUGUAGAGGUGAAAUUCGUAGAUAUUCGGAAGAACACCAGUGGCGAAGGCGGCUCACUGGCCCGGUACUGACGCUGAGGUGCGAAAGCGUGGGGAGCAAACAGG